rnacentral:rRNA from 1 species
AUUGAACGCUGGCGGCAUGCUUUACACAUGCAAGUCGAACGGCAGCGCGGGGGCAACCCUGGCGGCGAGUGGCGAACGGGUGAGUAAUGUAUCGGAACGUAUCCUGUAAUGGGGGAUAACCAGUCGAAAGAUUGGGUAAUACCGCAUACGCACGAGAGUGGAAAGUAGGGGAUCGCAAGACCUUACGUUAUAGGAGCGGCCGAUAUCUGAUUAGCUAGUUGGUGGGGUAAAGGCCUACCAAGGCGAAGACGGGUAGGGGGCCUGAGAGGGUGGUCCCCCACAUGGGAACUGAGACACGGUCCCAACUCCUACGGGAGGCAGCAGUAAGGAAUAUUGCACAAUGGGCGCAAGCCUGAUGCAGCAACGCCGCGUGCCCGAGGACGGCCUCGGUUGUAAAGGGCGUUUCUGGCUGACGAGGAAGGACGGUAGGCCGAGGAAUAAGCGUCGGCGUAACUACGUG